rnacentral:rRNA from 1 species
AUGAACGCUGGCGGCGUGCCUAAUACAUGCAAGUCGAGCGAACGGACGAGAAGCUUGCUUCUCUGAUGUUAGCGGCGGACGGGUGAGUAACACGUGGAUAACCUACCUAUAAGACUGGGAUAACUUCGGGAAACCGGAGCUAAUACCGGAUAAUAUUUUGAACCGCAUGGUUCAAAAGUGAAAGACGGUCUUGCUGUCACUUAUAGAUGGAUCCGCGCUGCAUUAGCUAGUUGGUAAGGUAACGGCUUACCAAGGCAACGAUGCAUAGCCGACCUGAGAGGGUGAUCGGCGCCACUGGAACUGAGACGCGGUCCAGACUCCUACGGGAGGCAGCAGUAGGGAAUCUUCCGCAAUGGGCGAAAGCCUGACGGAGCAACGCCGCGUGAGUGAUGAAGGUCUUCGGAUCGUAAAACUCUGUUAUUAGUGAAGAACAUAUGUGUAAGUAACUGUGCACAUCUUGACGGUACCUAAUCAGAAAGCCACGGCUAACUACGUG